rnacentral:tRNA from 1 species
GGAUUUGUGGCUCAGAGGGAGACCGCUCACCUACCGUGUGUGAGGCACUGGGUUCGAUCCUCAGCACCA